rnacentral:rRNA from 1 species
GAAACGUUGGCGGNGCGCCUUAUGCAUGCAAGUCGAAAGGUGAGCUAAUGUCCCAUAUGAUAACGAAGCGUAUGUUUGGUUAUUAAAGCCUCAGGGUGCUCCAAGAGGGGCUUGCGCCCGAUUAGUUAGUUGGUAGGGUAAUGGCCUACCAAGGCGACGAUCGGUAGCUGGUCUGAGAGGAUGGUCAGCCAGAUGGGGACUGAGACACGGCCCCAACUCCUACGGGAGGCAGCAGCAAGGAAUCUUGGGCAAUGAGCGAAAGCUUGACCCAGCGACACCGCGUGAGGGAAGAAGGCCUUCGGGUUGUAAACCUCUUUUCUCGGGGAAGAAUUUUGACGGUACCCGAGGAAUAAGUCUCGGCUAACUACGUGCCAGCAGCCGCGGUAAUACGUAGGAGGCGAACGUUAUUCGGAUUUACUGGGCGUAAAGGGAGCAUAGGCGGCUCCUUAAGUCAGAUGUGAAAUCUUCUGACUCAAUCAGAAGGCGUCAUUUGAUACUGAGGGACUUGAGAACAACAGAGGGAAAUGGAAUCUCCAGUGUAGCGGUGAAAUGCGUUGAUAUUGGAGAGAACACCAGUGGCGAAGGCGAUUUCCCAGGUUGUUUCUGACGCUGAGGCUCGAAAGCGUGGGGAGCGAAGCGGAUUAAAUACCCGCGUAGUCCACGCCCUAAACGGUGGACACUAGAAUAUAGGAGGUAUCGACCCCUUCUGUGUCGAAGCUAACGCUUUAAGUGUCCCGCCNUGGGGAGUACGGCCGCAAGGCUNAAACUCAAAGAAUUGACGG